ensembl:ncRNA F26D12.100 ncRNA
AAAGUUCGCUUUUUUAGGUGAAAAUCAGAGAAAAAAUCAAGGUUAAAGCCGAAAAAGACUAUCACAAAAAGUACUACUAGAGGGUAGGAUUAGUCCAUUGAUAAAAGACAAUCACACUAUCACUAAUAUCAAAGCGAACUCUAAAAAGCAACAUAACCUUCUGA